GGCUCAGGAUGAACGCUGGCGGCGUGCUUAAUACAUGCAAGUCGAACGAAGGUUGUAGCAAUGCGGCCUUAGUGGCGAACGGGUGAGUAACGCGUUGGUGACCUGCCCCGAAGAGAGGGAUAACAGUUCGAAAGGACUGCUAAUACCUCAUGCGGUCUCUGGCUUUAGAAACUGGAGACUAAAGGAGUAAUCCACUUUGGGAGGGGCCUGCGUCCCAUCAGCUAGUUGGUAGGGUAACGGCCUACCAAGGCUAUGACGGGUAGGGGACCUGAGAGGGUGGCCCCCCACAAUGGAACUGAAACACGGUCCAUACACCUACGGGUGGCAGCAGUAGGGAAUAUUGGUAAUGGGCGAAAGCCUGAACCAGCAACGCCGCGUGAACGAUGAAGGCCUUCGGGUUGUAAAGUUCUUUUUGGAGGGAUGAGGAAGGACAGUACCUCCAGAAUAAGUCUCGGCUAACUACGUGCCAGCAGCCGCGGUAACACGUAGGAGACUAGCGUUAUCCGGAUUUACUGGGCGUAAAGCGCGUGCAGGCGGCUCGGAUAGUUGGAUGUGAAAGCUCCUGGCUUAACUGGGAGAGGUCGUUCAAUACUUCCGAGCUAGAGGAUGGGAGAGGGAGGUGGAAUUCCGGGUGUAGUGGUGAAAUGCGUAGAUAUCCGGAGGAACACCAGUGGCGAAAGCGGCCUCCUGGCCCAUAUCUGACGCUCAUACGCGAAAGCUAGGGUAGCAAACGGGAUUAGAGACCCCGGUAGUCCUAGCUGUAAACGAUGUAGACUUGGCGUUGGUGGGUUCAAAUCCAUCAGUGCCGAAGCUAACGCGAUAAGUCUACCGCCUGGG
rnacentral:rRNA from 1 species